rnacentral:rRNA from 1 species
GGCGUCCCCUUCGGGGGACAGGGUGACAGGUGGUGCAUGGUUGUCGUCAGCUCGUGUCGUGAGAUGUUCGGGUUAAGUCCCGCAACGAGCGCAACCCUCGACCUUAGUUGCCAGCAUUCAGUUGGGCACUCUAAGGUGACUGCCGGCUAAAAGUCGGAGGAAGGUGGGGAUGACGUCAAAUCAUCAUGCCCCUUAUGACCUGGGCUACACACGUGCUACAAUGGGCGGUACAAAGGGUCGCGAACCCGCGAGGGGGAGCCAAUCCCAAAAAGCCGCUCUCAGUUCGGAUUGCAGGCUGCAACUCGCCUGCAUGAAGCCGGAAUCGCUAGUAAUCGCGGAUCAGCAUGCCGCGGUGAAUACGUUCCCGGGCCUU